rnacentral:rRNA from 1 species
CAGAGGGUGCGAGCGUUAAUCGGAGUUACUGGGCGUAAAGGGCGCGUAGGCGGUAGGAUGUGAGUGGUGUGAAAGCCCUGGGCUUAACCUAGGAAGCGCACCGCAGACUAUCCUACUGGAGUAGAUGAGAGGGUGAUGGAAUUUCCGGUGUAGCGGUGAAAUGCGUAGAGAUCGGAAGGAACGUCGAUGGCGAAGGCAGUCACCUGGCAUCAUACUGACGCUGAGGCGCGAAAGCGUGGGGAUCGAACAGGAUUAGAUACCCUGGUAGUCCACGCUGUAAACGAUGAGGACUAGAUGUUGGUGGGGGAACCCAUCAGUAUCGAAGCAAACGCGAUAAGUCUUCCGCCUGGGAAGUACGGCCGCAAGGUUG